CAGCAGCCGCGGUAAUACGUAGGGUGCAAGCGUCAAUCGGAAUUACUGGGCGUAAAGCGUGCGCAGGCGGUUAUAUAAGACAGAUGUGAAAUCCCCGGGCUCAACCUGGGAACUGCAUUUGUGACUGUAUAGCUAGAGUACGGCAGAGGGGGAUGGAAUUCCGCGUGUAGCAGUGAAAUGCGUAGAUAUGCGGAGGAACACCGAUGGCGAAGGCAAUCCCCUGGGCCUGUACUGACGCUCAUGCACGAAAGCGUGGGGAGCAAACAGGAUUAGAUACCCCCGUAGUCCCUGUCUCUUAUAU
rnacentral:rRNA from 1 species